UCCCUGGUGGUCUAGUGGCUAAGACUCCACGCUGUCAAUGCAGGGGGCCCGGGUUUGAUCCCUGGUCAGAGAG
rnacentral:tRNA from 1 species